rnacentral:tRNA from 1 species
GCGGUCCGCAGAGGCGAGCAAGGGGACUCGGAUUUUCGUUUCGAACCUACUACGAAUCUGAGGGUCAGGAGUUCGAAUCUCUUCGGGCGCGCCA